rnacentral:rRNA from 1 species
AUUGAACGCUGGCGGCAGGCCUAACACAUGCAAGUCGAACGAGUGGCGGAAGGGUGAGUAAUGUCUGGGAAACUGACCGAUGGAGGGGGAUAACUACUGGGUACGGUAGCUAAUAACGCAUACCAUCGGAUGUGCCCAGAUGGGGUUAGAUAGGAGGUGGGGUAAUGGCUCACCUAGGCGACGAUCCCUAGCUGGUCUGAGAGGAUGACCAGCCACACUGGAAAUGAGACACGGUCCAGACUCCUACGGGAGGCAGCAGUGGGGAAUAUUGCGCAAUGGGCGCAAGCCUGAUGCAGCCAUGCCGCGGGUAUGAAGAAGGCCUUCGGGUUGUAAAGUACUUUCAGCGAGGAGGCGUUACUCGCAGAAGAAGCACCGGCUAACUCCGUGCCAGCCGCCGCGGUAAUAC